AUUGAACGCUGGCGGCAGGCCUAACACAUGCAAGUCGAACGAGUGGCGGACGGGUGAGUAAUGUCUGGGAAACUGCCCGAUUGAGGGGGAUAACUACUGGAAACGGUAGCUAAUACAGCAUACCAUCGGAUGUGCCCAGAUGGGAUUGGCUAGUCGGGGGGGUAACGGCUCACCUAGGCGACGAUCCCGAGCUGGUCUGAGAGGAUGACCAGCCGCACUGGAACUGAGACACGGUCCAGACUCCUACGGGAGGCAGCAGUGGGGAAGAUUGGACAAGGGGCGCAAGCGUGAUGCAGCCAUGCCGCGUGUAUGAAGAAGGCCUUAGGGUUGUAAAGUACUUUCAGCGGGGAGGCGUUACUCGCAGAAGAAGCACCGGCUAACUACGUGCCAGCCGCCGCGGUAAUAC
rnacentral:rRNA from 1 species